GACGAACGCUGGCGGCGUGCUUAACACAUGCAAGUCGAGCGGAGCGGCGAACGGGGGAGUAACCCGUGAGUAACUGCCCCCCUCUCUGGGAUAACAGUUGGAAACGGCUGCUAAUACCGGCUAGUGGGGGAUGACUCGCGUCCUAUCAGCUUGUUGGUGGGGUAGUGGCCUACCAAGGCGACGACGGGUAGCCGGCCUGAGAGGGCGACCGGCCACAUUGGGCUUAGAUACGGCCCAAACUCCUACGGGGGGCAGCAGUGGGGAAUAUUGCACAAUGGGGGAAACCCUGAUGCAGCAACGCCGCGUGCGGGAUGACGGCCUUCGGGUUGUAAACCGCUUUCAGCCAUGACGCGGUAGUGGCAGAAGAAGCACCGGCUAACUACGUGCCAGCAGCCGCGGUAAUAC
rnacentral:rRNA from 1 species